AAAUUAGCUCAAACCCUAUCAACUCUCUUUUGCUCUCAUCGGAAUAUAAGUUUGAAGACAUGUUAGAGGAAGUCCAGAAAAUUGAGCAAGUUGAAGAAGAAUAUGCAGACUCACCUUUGAGGAUUGAUUAGAUGGA